UUAAAAUAAUCGGAAAAAGUUGUCUCCCUUUGAAAAUGAAUACCAUUUGUAAAGAAAUAAAGAUAAACGAUUGCUGAAAACUGUGUUCCACCUUGUUAUGCGAACUUUCUCCACUCGCACGCUAUUGCAAAUGCAUCAAAACGAACAUGUGUAACUGUUCUAUGAAAGUGGUGAGUUUUUAAAGGCGUUUAACUAUCCGGAAGUGGAGCUCGUUUAGGUAGUCAUUUUCCGGAAUUCAAUGUUUAUAUCAAUAUACUAACACUUGUUCGUAAAGUAAUAUACAUGUUUUACAUGCUGUUCAAUUUUCAUGUCAAACAACUCUUUCUUUCUAUGACUUGGUGUUGUUUGAUUUUUGUUUCUCAAGGCUUACUUCGAAACCUUAAGACAUAUUAUCUUAUCACAUCCAACGUCAGAACUUCCAGUCAAAUUUGUUUGUUAAGUCAUUUUUUUUUCACAGAGCGAUACCUUUUGAGGAUUUUUAAAUUGCAGUACGCUCUUUUAUUGAGUCAUAAAGAAGUUGAUACGAUCUUAAGAUGCCUUUCAUCUUCCUGUAAUAGAUAUAUGUCUCCGCACUGUUAAUUAGAACAGACAGCAUUUCAUAAUGCAGUAAUAUGUCUUAAGUAUCGUAUUAACUUUCUCCACUUUUAAACCCAAAUGAACAAAUGAAAGUUAACCUAUGACAAGAACACUGAAAAAUAAGACUAAGUGAUAAAAUGAUACCCGUUCGGGGAUAAAACAGUCAUUCUAAAUUCAUCUCCUUAUACGCUAAAACAGAAAUUGAGGACAACCAAUAGAGUGUCACGUUCAGAUGACCUGGUUUUUAAAGCUUUAAAGUAAAAUUAAAAAUACAAAAUGCUUAACUUGAAAAUCUUAGCUUUGAUCCAAGGAAAACGGUUAUAUUUCCCUGAAAACAACAACACAAUCAAGCAUUCAAAGACAAGUAACCCAUACAACAUUCAACACGGAAAUGUAUACAACGCACAAAUGUAAUACGAAUGGAAUAAGUGAAACACAGAUGUAAAAAACAAAAACAAAGAUACAGGAAGUCUUAAUUUAAUACUCUAAUUGGUUGAACAAAUAUUGAUACAGGAAACCUGGCUUUUCAAGAUGAUGAACUUGUCAUUAAACUUUACCGUAGUAAGAUCUAGUACUUUAGUCAAGAUUUUAAAAGUUUUUCGAGGAAAGGUAACCCUUUUUCAUCCGUAAAAAUAUCUUAGCUGAAAUGAAUGUUACAACGCAUCAUUUAUUUUUAGGUAUCAAGACCGUUUUCAUAUUGACGAAAUGCGAUAAAGUCAGUGAAUCUGUGAGGGUAGAUAAAAGAAAGGUCUUUGAAGACAACAGCGUACGAGAUUGCAAAGAGAAACUCAUGGCAAUGUUUUCUCUAAAGAGUCAGACAUUGAUAUAUCCAGUAGUUAACUACGUUGAUGAAAAUAAUACGGAUCUUCCGGUUGAUGCUCUGAUCAUAGCGGCAUUCAAGCAAAUUCUGAAGUUUGGGAAAGAAUGUUUGGAGAUGUUGGAUAACGCUGAAGAAGAAGGCGGUGCAAAUUCAGAGGCAUACAAUUAAGUUUAUAAACAUACAUAUCAUUAUGGAGCGGACACCGAGACAUCUUCUUUCACGAUAAAUAUCGCUGUAUUAAUGUUUAUUAACUGAAGACUGGCCAGCUUCUGUGCUGUAGUUACAGUGCUUAAACCCACAGUCAAGAGCAAAUAUGUUAUGCACAUAACAAGUUAACUAGUAUGAUUUAUUCAGGUAUUGCGCUGACGUAAAGUCUAAUUCCACUAAUCGUUGAAACUGUUUAAUGAUCAUUUAAUGGACUUCGACGAUUUCCUAACCCUACUUUUUAAUAGGCUGCAAAUGGUAUAUUCUCUCAUGUACUGAACCGUUUAAAGGACCUGAAGGUAACAAUCAUACACAGAAAUAGCCGGUAAUAAGUAUCUAGCCUAAGUGAGAGUAUAUUGCAUUUCUUGUUACAAGGGAUAUUUAAGAGGACCGCCCAAGCAGUUAAUAAAGUUCACAUUUACAUUAAUAUUUCCAUAAGAACAAUCCAUUCUUUAAGUUUCAGCAUAUUACUUUGUUAUUCAUAAUUCAUCAAAUUUCUUUCGAAAAGGAGGCAAAUAGCAGGACUUUAGUUUAAGUACAUAUGGAUUUCUAUAUGCAUUAUAAAUACAAUUAAAAAGUCGACCAACACCAAAUGAUUGGUAUCUAAAGGAGAGUCUUACGUCGUGCAUAUUUAUACUACUGGUUAUUAAAGGUUUAUAAACAAAAAUUGAUUCUGUAUGUAUUAAAGUAUCAAUAAGUGAAAUAUCAUUCUAUGCAUCAUGAAUUAUGUAUUGCAAGAACAAUAAUAUUCAAAGAUAAGUCUUUGUCUUUUACAUUUUCGGUCAAUUAUAUCUAAAAAUAAUAUUUGCGUGCGCAUGUAUGCAGGCGAAGAUACCAUUACGUGUCAAAUUCUUCCAAUCAAAAUUGAAGGAUUAUAUUGCUCAAAGUCGUAUAUAUGUACCAAGAAACGUUCAAGUGCAACAACACUUAUUUCUUGAU